rnacentral:rRNA from 1 species
CCUACGGGAGGCAGCAGUGAGGAAUAUUGGUCAAUGGACGAGAGUCUGAACCAGCCAAGUAGCGUGAAGGAUGACUGCCCUAUGGGUUGUAAACUUCUUUUAUAUGGGAAUAAAAUGUUCCACGUGUGGGAUUUUGUAUGUACCAUAUGAAUAAGGAUCGGCUAACUCCGUGCCAGCAGCCGCGGUAAUACGGAGGAUCCGAGCGUAAUCCGGAUUUAUUGGGUUGAAAGGUAGCGUAGGUGGAUUGUUAAGUCAGUUGUGAAAGUUUGCGGCUCAACCGUAAAAUUGCAGUUGAAACUGGCAGUCUUGAGUACAGUAGAGGUGGGCGGAAUUCGUGGUGUAGCGGUGAAAUGCUUAGAUAUCACGAAGAACUCCGAUUGCGAAGGCAGUUCACUGGACUGCAACUGACACUGAGGCUCGAAAGUGUGGGUAUCAAACAGGAUUAGAUACCCUGGUAGUC